AUGCGAUAAGUAAUGUGAAUUGCAGAAUUCAGUGAAUCAUCGAAUCUUUGAACGCACCUUGCGCUCCUUGGCAUUCCGAGGAGCAUGCCUGUUUGAGUGUCGUUGAAUUCUCAUUCCCGGUACAUACCCGGGUCUGGAUUGGUGGAGGUCUUGCAGGUGGGGAUUCCCUCUGCUCCUCUGAAAUGCAUUAUGGGCUGGUGCACCGAAUCUGUGACCCUAUCCAUGGGCCAUGAUCGGUGGGACAGCUUAACUUGUGCGAACCCGCGUCGUCGGUAUGAUAUAACAGGUCCUACCAACUUCGAACGGCUGUCGUGCUACUCAGAUAUUUGACCUCAAAUCAGGCAGGACUACCCGCUGAACUUAA
rnacentral:misc_RNA from 1 species